CUUACACAUGCAGUCGAACGAUGAAGUCCAGCUUGCUGGGUGGAUUAGUGGCGAACGGGUGAGUAACACGUGGGUGAUCUGCCCUGCACUCUGGGAUAAGCCUGGGAAACUGGGUCUAAUACCGGAUAUGACCUCGGGAUGCAUGUCCUGGGGUGGAAAGUUUUUCGGUGCAGGAUGAGCCGCGGCCUAUCAGCUUGUUGGUGGGGUAAUGGCCUACCAAGGCGACGACGGGUAGCCGGCCUGAGAGGGCGACCGGCCACACUGGGACUGAGACACGGCCCAGACUCCUACGGGAGGCAGCAGUGGGGAAUAUUGCACAAUGGGCGCAAGCCUGAUGCAGCGACGCCGCGUGAGGGAUGACGGCCUUCGGGUUGUAAACCUCUUUCAGCAGGGACGAAGCGCAAGUGACGGUACCUGCAGAAGAAGCACCGGCCAACUACGUGCCAGCAGCCGCGGUAAUACGUAGGGUGCGAGCGUUGUCCGGAAUUACUGGGCGUAAAGAGCUCGUAGGCGGUUUGUCGCGUCGUCUGUGAAAACCCGCAGCUCAACUGCGGGCUUGCAGGCGAUACGGGCAGACUCGAGUACUGCAGGGGAGACUGGAAUUCCUGGUGUAGCGGUGAAAUGCGCAGAUAUCAGGAGGAACACCGGUGGCGAAGGCGGGUCUCUGGGCAGUAACUGACGCUGAGGAGCGAAAGCGUGGGUAGCGAACAGGAUUAGAUACCCUGGUAGUCCACGCCGUAAACGGUGGGCGCUAGGUGUGGGUUUCCUUCCACGGGAUCCGUGCCGUAGCCAACGCAUUAAGCGCCCCGCCUGGGGGAGUACGGCCGCAAGGCUAAAACUCAAAGGAAUUGACGGGGGCCCGCACAAGCGGCGGAGCAUGUGGAUUAAUUCGAUGCAACGCGAAGAACCUUACCUGGGUUUGACAUGUACCGGACGACUGCAGAGAUGUGGUUUCCCUUGUGGCCGGUAGACAGGUGGUGCAUGGCUGUCGUCAGCUCGUGUCGUGAGAUGUUGGGUUAAGUCCCGCAACGAGCGCAACCCUUGUCCUGUGUUGCCAGCACGUGAUGGUGGGGACUCGCAGGAGACUGCCGGGGUCAACUCGGAGGAAGGUGGGGACGACGUCAAGUCAUCAUGCCCCUUAUGUCCAGGGCUUCACACAUGCUACAAUGGUCGGUACAGAGGGCUGCGAUACCGUGAGGUGGAGCGAAUCCCUUAAAGCCGGUCUCAGUUCGGAUCGGGGUCUGCAACUCGACCCCGUGAAGUCGGAGUCGCUAGUAAUCGCAGAUCAGCAACGCUGCGGUGAAUACGUUCCCGGGCCUUGUACACACCGCCCGUCACGUCAUGAAAGUCGGUAACACCCGAAGCCGGUGGCCUAACCCCUCGUGGGAGGGAGCCGUCUA
rnacentral:rRNA from 1 species